UUCAUCACCUUCGUCAACACAGAGUUCAAUCACAACCGCCUUGUUCGUGCCCGCGGCCCUGAUGCUGUUAAGGGCCUCGAAGAUUUCCAGUUCAAAACCAUCCCAGAUGGCCUGCCAUUUUCCGACAAUGAUGCUACACAGGAUAUACCUUUACUUUCUCAGUCGAUGUCGAAAAAUUGUUUGGCCCCUUUUUUGGAACUCAUAAGGAACCUUAAUGAAUCAUCGAAUUGUCCGAAUGUUAGUUGCAUAGUUUCUGAUGGGGUCAUGAGUUUUACUUUGGAUGCUGCUGACCAGCUCAAUAUUCCUGAAGUGCUGUUUUACACGACAAGUGCUUGUGGGUUCAUGGGGUACCUUCACUA
rnacentral:lncRNA from 1 species